rnacentral:rRNA from 1 species
UAGGGAAUCUUCCGCAAUGGGCGAAAGCCUGACGGAGCAACGCCGCGUGAGUGAUGAAGGUCUUCGGAUCGUAAAACUCUGUUAUUAGGGAAGAACAUAUGUGUAAGUAACUGUGCACAUCUUGACGGUACCUAAUCAGAAAGCCACGGCUAACUACGUGCCAGCAGCCGCGGUAAUACGUAGGUGGCAAGCGUUAUCCGGAAUUAUUGGGCGUAAAGCGCGCGUAGGCGGUUUUUUAAGUCUGAUGUGAAAGCCCACGGCUCAACCGUGGAGGGUCAUUGGAAACUGGAAAACUUGAGUGCAGAAGAGGAAAGUGGAAUUCCAUGUGUAGCGGUGAAAUGCGCAGAGAUAUGGAGGAACACCAGUGGCGAAGGCGACUUUCUGGUCUGUAACUGACGCUGAUGUGCGAAAGCGUGGGGAUCAAACAGGAUUAGAUACCCUGGUAGUCCACGCCGUAAACGAUGAGUGCUAAGUGUUAGGGGGUUUCCGCCCCUUAGUGCUGCAGCUAACGCAUUAAGCACUCCGUCUGGGGAGUACGACCGCAAGGUUG